AUACGUAGGUGACAAGCGUUAUCCGGAUUUACUGGGCGUAAAGGGCGUGUAGGCGGUCUUGCGAGUCAGAAGUGAAAUUCCUGAGCUCAACUCGGGCGCUGCUUCUGAAACUGCAGGACUUGAGUGCUGGAGGGGAUAGCGGAAUUCCUAGUGGAGCGGUAAAAUGCGCAGAUAUUAGGAAGAACUCCGAUUGCGAAGGCAGUCCGCUGGGGCACGUCUGACGCUGAUGCUCGAAGGUGCGGGAAUCAAACAGGAUUAGAUACCCUGGUAGUCCGCACGGUAAACGAUGAUUACCCGCUGUCGGCGGCAGACAGUCGGCGGCCAAGCGAAAGCGAUAAGUAAUCCACCUGGGGAGUACGCCGGCAACGGUGAAACUCAAAUGAAUUGACGGGG
rnacentral:rRNA from 1 species